rnacentral:rRNA from 1 species
AGUGAACGCUGGCGGUAGGCCUAACACAUGCAAGUCGAACGGCAGCACAGUAAGAGCUUGCUCUUACGGGUGGCGAGUGGCGGACGGGUGAGGAAUACAUCGGAAUCUACUUUUUCGUGGGGGAUAACGUAGGGAAACUUACGCUAAUACCGCAUACGACCUACGGGUGAAAGCAGGGGAUCUUCGGACCUUGCGCGAUUGAAUGAGCCGAUGUCGGAUUAGCUAGUUGGCGGGGUAAAGGCCCACCAAGGCGACGAUCCGUAGCUGGUCUGAGAGGAUGAUCAGCCACACUGGAAGUGAGACACGGUCCAGACUCCUACGGGAGGCAGCAGUGGGGAAUAUUGGACAAUGGGCGCGAGCCUGAUCCAGCCAUACCGCGUGGGUGAAGAAGGCCUUCGGGUUGUAAAGCCCUUUUGUUGGGAAAGAAAAGCAGCAGGUUAAUACCCCGCUGUUCUGACGGUACCCAAAGAAUAAGCACCGGCUAACUUCGUG